CAGGGCAUAUUCAUGUGUACCCACUUGGCUGGACACUGGGAGCAGAGUCAGAAAGUGGGUAUGGAGGCACUUCUCUCAAAUGACUUUACAAUUUAGGAGAAAAUCCUGGUUGCAAUGUAAUUCUUCCAGAAGCAAUGACUAAAUCAGUCAAUUCAGCAUUAUAGAACCAUGCAAGUGUGUGCAUUAAGCCCUGGAAAUACUGGAGGCAUUUUGUGGGGCAGCCCAUUUGAAACACAUUGGUGCUGUGCUUCUGUGAUUUGGUAACCAGCAGCCACAUGGGCCACCUGAGUCACCGAGCUGCCUAAAAUCCGUAGUGUACAGGUGAUGAGGGGGACUCCUGAGAGAAGGGGGUGAACUAGGUGAUGGCAUCCUAGUGAGAGGUGACAGCGUGCUGGCAGUGGUGACAGCGAGCCCUUGCUCGCUCUGGGCGCCUCCUCUGCUUGGGCUCCCACUGUGGC
rnacentral:lncRNA from 10 species